GUGGUGCACGGCGAUGAGGCUCGCCAGGUGGCUUCGGCCACCGAAGUGCCCGCUGCGGCUGAUAGCCUCUGCUCGACC
rnacentral:ncRNA from 2 species